CCUGUGUCUGAAUCCACAAGGCAGGAGCUUUUGGAGAUUGAUGGCAUUUCAUAUCGCCUGCAACAAGAAAUUGAUUUACUAAAAAAUUUUAAUCUUGUUCGGUGUAAAAAUUGUCAGACUGUGAUUGCCAGGCGGAGUGAUAUGUUGGUGAUGUCUAGUGAAGGUCCUCUUGGAGCUUAUGUUAACCCACAUGGUUCUGUGCAUGAGAUAAUGACUUU
rnacentral:misc_RNA from 1 species